UCUUUCUUUUUUUUUUUUUUUUUUUUUUUGUAUAGAAUAGAGUUUAUUUAGGGGUUUAUUUAUUUAUUUAUUAAAGGUGUGUGCCACCACCCUCAGCUUACAGAAACUCUGCUAAAGGCAAACAUUUCAUUGGGGCUGGCUUACAGUUUCAGAGGUUUAGUCCAUUAUCAUCAUGGCAGGAAGUAUGACAGCCUGCAGGCAGACAUGGUGCUGGAGGAGCCAAGAGUUCUACAUCUUGAUCAACAGGCAGCAGGAGACUAUAAGUAGUUGGAGCAUAUAUAACCUCAAAGCCCACCUCCACUGCCACACUUUCUUGAACAAGGCCACACCUCCAAUAAGACCAUAUCUUAUUAUCUUAUAUAGUAGUGCCACUCCCUGUGGGCCAAGCAUUUAUACACAUGAGUAUAUGGGGGCCAUACCUGUUCAAAUCAUCACAGGUAGUAUAUUUGAUUUUACUCAGCAAAACUUUAUACUCUAGGAUUGUACUGAGUUUAUACUUUUAGACAUUUUUACUGACAUGUUUUAUUAAUGUGGUGCUGGGAAUUAAACCCAGGGCUUUGUGUGUAUUAGGCAAGCAUCAACUGUGCUAUAUCUCCAUCCUAUUUGUAUGUUUUUGUGUGUAUUUAUGUGGUAUAUGUAUAUAUUUGUGUGGGUAUCUGCAUGUGUAUACGGUUACAUAUAUAUGCAUAUAUGUGUGGAUAGAGAGUUUCUUCCUUAAUUGCUUCUCAAGUAACUUUUUGAGAUAGGAGGUCACACUGAAUUUAGGCUAGCUGGCCAAUGAGUUCUAGAGAUUUUCCUGUCUCUGCGUGCUCAGGCCUAGGAUUAUAGACAAAGGGCAUGCCCAGUAUUUUAGAGAGUGUGCAUAUGAGGGAGAUUCAGAACUCAGGCUCUUUACUGACUACACCAUCUUCUAGGUCCUCACACAUUCUUAAUGAAAGUUUAUUCUUAAAUAUAUAACACAGCUCCAAGACAACAUAUCAUCCCAGCCAUAGGUGGCAAGAGGUGCAAUUUGCCUUAGCAAGCAAGGCAGAUGUUUAAAUAGGAAGAGAACCAAGGGUCACCACAACCCCAAGCACAAGGAACAGCUUUGCUUUGCCAGCUUUCUUAAUUCUACCUGUGUGCAGAGGGCUCUCUCCAACCUUUGCUUCUAUCUCCCCGAGUUUCUUAUCUCUUCUCGUUUCAGCUUGAAUACGUCAUCUGUUUAGUUGUCUGCAUUAUGCCUCUUUUGGAAACUGCUGGUCAUUCGCACCCAGCUAUUCCUCUUAACUUCUGCUCCGUGUUUCUGUUACUCUUUGUCUUGUUCCAGUGUGGACCUCAUGGCUGUCAGCUCCUGCAGGCCUCCCUUCCCGCAGCUUCUCAGUUAGUUGUGGGUGAGCACAACAGUGGGCUGGGCAAUUUGAUGUAUGUAGAUCCUUUCAGUUCUGCUUUCGGUUCCUGUUUGGUGUUCCCCUUCCCAACUUUUGCCCCUGUGGCCUGUUGUCUACUAAAAUGCAGCUGUAAGAAGCUGCUUGGAAGAAGACACUGAUAACAAUCUUUCCCUUCUUCCUUGUACUCCUCUUUCUCUAUCACUGGCUUCUGCUGGUGACCUUCCCCUUAGGCCUGGAGUAAAACUCCUGUUGUAUGUGUUUGAUGAAUAGAAACGUUUCUGGCAGGAGUCUUGGAGAUCAUGGAACUGGACUCUUAGGCAUGCUGGAUUGACUGUGAUCUACGUUAUAGAGGGUGGCUGAUAAUUAAGAACAGAGGUUCUAGAGAGACAGACUGGGUUGAGAAUUAACUUUGUAACUAAAUACAAAUUAACUUCAGAAUUUUAGCUGUUAGCACAUUUUGUGCUUUAUGAGAUCUAGACACAAGACAUUUCAGUAGGUAUUCUAGAUUCAGUCCUUCUUACAAAUUAGUAAAUUUGUGACAUGAUCUUGGCCAGUUGCUUAAUCUCUCAAUUAUCCUGUACUAACAUUUAGAAUAACGUUGGCCAUGCUCAUCUCUGACUCACCUUUAAUUCUUUUGUCACUAGAGCCUCUAGUCUGUAGUCCUCUGCAGGGGAGCAGCAGUGUGGCACAGGUUUGGGGUUUUACCAUUGCACCACUUGUCCUUGGUGAGUUGAUCCUGUGCAGUAUUUCCGUCUUGACUUUGAACAAGAUAUAAGCAAAGUACAUUCCAACUCAACAGUUGUCAUUUCUACCACUGCAUAGCUGUGGCUUUAGUUUAUAGGCAGAUUAGAGAGGAAAGAGUAUCAGUAAGGAAGAGACCUGGUGCUAUGUCUUAAUUAUCUUCACUUCUAAUGCCUUACACAGUGCCAUUACAUGGUAGGUAGGGUUUUACUUCCCCUAUACCCCUGACUCAGAUGGAGUCUGCUGCACAUCAUGUACUGGCUUAGAAUUUGAGAUCCUCCUCCCUCAGACUCCUCUGCCAAGAGAGUGGAGUUUGGUUCUCAGCAUCCAUGUCAAGUUGCUCAUAACUGCCUAUGAUGCCAGAUCCAGGAUGAUCUGAUACCUCUGGCUUACCUACACAGAGACACACACAUACAUAAUUGCACAUAAAGAUAGUUCUACAUCAAUAAUUUUUAUUAUUUAUUUAGAAGAUAUAUGUAUGAAAGUGAAUUGUAAAAAUAUUUUUGUUAUGGCUCACAAUAUUUAAAAGUCCAGAACCCUUUUUUUUUUCCCCGAUACAGGACUUCUCUGCAUAGCACUGGCUGUCCUGGAACUCACUCUGUAGACCAGGCUGGCUUCGAGCUCAAGAAGUCUGCCUGCCUCUGCCUCCCAAGUGCUGGGAUUAGAGGCAUAGGCCACCACUGCUCAGCUGUAUCUUUCUUUUUGACAGUGCUUUAUCCAUGCUAGGCAAGUGCUUAGUCUUUCAUAUCUAAUUGAAUAUAUUGCAACUCUUUCUUGAAAUGUGGGUUUUAACUGAAGUUAUAGAAAUUGGCCUGAUCAAGCUAUUAAAGGAUAAUAAUUGUGUCACUUUUUAAUCUGUUGACUCAAUAUCUCUGGUCUUUCCUUGAUAUUAUGAUACCUAUAUGUUGUGGGUAGUAGUAAGAAUCCCUGGUGAAUGUGUUUAUUUUCCACAUUAUUAUUUAGCCUUUAUAACAAUCUUGUAAGAUUGUUGCUCAUUUUAGAAGUGAGACUAUUGGGAUUUAGAAAGAUCAAAGGAAGACACAUCUUGUUUAUUCUAUUUGUAAAAUAACUAGUUUUUCAAGCUGAAACUGUAACUAAUUUGUGGUGUACUUGUAAAGUGGGGUCUUGUUACUCUUAGAAAUUAUGGUCUUGAAGCACAUAUGAUGGUGUAGGAAAAUGCUCACGCAUCAAUGAUAAAGGAAAACAGAGAAGUGAGUGCAUUAAUACAUUUCCCGCUGCUCCAACCAAGCGUCUGAAGGUGAGGACUUUAUAAAUAACAGGACAGUGUUGAGUGUGACAGCUUAGGUAGCAGCAGGGCAUUUCCGGUGGCUGUAUCAUAUCACUGCUACAUCUAAUACAGGGACAUAUUAUCUGAUAUGACAGGAAGCCAGAGAACACAGAGGAGGCAGCUCAUUCUUUUACAACAAGUCUUAGGAAAACUCAUUUCCUGAGUUAAUUUCUUAGAGGAGAGUGACUCCAAAUGACCUACUUAGCUCCCACUAGGCUCCACCUCUCACAGGUUUCACCACUUCCUAACAUCUUUGCUCAUGACCAAACUCUCAGCACGUGAAUCUGUGGAGAGGACAAACUACAUCCAAACCACUGCAAAUAUGUAUUUAAGUUCAUCUAUUUAUUGGCUGCUUGUUUUAUUCUAUGCACUAUUCUGGUGACUAGGGGAAAGACUUUCUCUAUAGUAUUCUGGUGGAGGGGUGAUCAAGUACAAACUCAAGAGAUAGGUGUGUGUCUGGUGAGAACCAUUCUAAGGCCAGUGUGGCUCGGGUACAUGUGUCAGGAAAGGAGAGGUAGGGCACAAGUUAGUAAGGUAGAAAAAGGGGACAGAUUACAUGGGGACCUUGACUACUAUAAAGAAUAGUCUUCAUUAAGAAUUAGGUGAGAAGCCUUUUGAAUAUUAACAGCAGAAGAGUGGCAUGUUCUGACUGAUGUUUUAACAAAUGUGAUCUGGCUAUUGUGAUAUGAAUGGGCUGGGGAGGAGAACCAGCUGGAGCAGGAAGAGUAGGUUACUGCAAAUAAUAAUUAUAAAUCAGAUUACAGUGUUGGCUUGAAUUAGUAGCAUAAUAGUGGAAGCAUACUAAAUGCUCAAGUUCAGGAAUUUUUUGAAGAUAUAGUUUAGAAGCAUAAUUGAUGACUUAGAUGUGGGGUAAAAGGUAAAUGGAAGUUGAGGAUGGGUUCAUGGUUUCUUGACCUGACAGAUGAAAUUGUCAUGGACUAAGACGGGAAAGGCUUUGGGAGGAGUACAUUUGGCCAUGGGAGGAGAUAAAGAACUUGUUCCUAGAUGUGUUACUUGAGUCAGAAGUUCAGCAGAGGUAGAGCAGGAGGCAUAGUUGAAGCUGUUUUAGGAUGCCGAUAAGCUGUGACGUCAAGGCUGGGAAAGCACAACAGAGGAGCUAGUGAAGAUGUUUCCUUAUAGAUGGAUGGACGUUCUUCUUGGCUGAGGCUGGUGAAGCAUGUGUGCAUUUUCUGUUACUCUGGAGGCAGAGGUAGGAGGAUCACAUGAUCCUAGGCCAGCCCAGACAGCCAGGUGAGACAUGGCCAUUGAAACAACACUUCAAGGGUAUGAUUACAGCCAUUGGCCACAGGAUUUAAGCUGUGUAAGCAGGCGAGUGAGGCUAAGUGCAGUUAAGGGCAGUAGUGAGGCUGAAGGACUUAGGGACUCAUGACAGAAGUAGUGAAGAGUGAUGGCUGAAGAAAGCGGGAGUGCUUGACACUCACUGCAAGGCUUGUGUGACCAGGGAUGACAAGAUCGAGGAUUUGAAGAAGUGGAAGAUGGAACAAGACACUUAAGAACAAUUCCACCUGUGUCAUGUGGGGUGGUAGUAAGCAAGGGGGUGAACUACCAUGGAAGAGGAGCCAGGACCUGGGUCACUGGUGACUGCACAAGGCAGCUGGCAGCGUUGUUUAGCUUGAGGGUGACAUUUUAAGGCAGGAAUUGAGGAGGAAGAAUAGAGACUUAGAAGCAAGGAGUAUACUCACCUCAACUGAGAGAAACAGAAUCUGGGCAUGUCUGAAAGGAAGUUAAAGUCACAGAAAUCAGGCCAGAGUCGGCAUUGGCUCUGACCCUUUGAUCUCUCCCCAUGUGUCUGCUUUUAGUCCCUUCUGGCUGUAGCGGGAAGACAUUCGUACACUCACUUCCAUGGUUCCCCCACAAUUGCUUUUAAGCUGUUCUCAAAUCCCUUCUUAGGUGGUCUCUUUGAACCCUUCCCUGCCUGUCUCCAUUUGCUCCUUCCCAAGUCCAUGCCUCUUUCCUCCCAGCCCCAAAUAAUUCCAAUAGUAACCAAUAGACGUCAUCCGAGUUAGUACUGUGUGCCAGGCAGUGCUCCAAGCACUCUAUGCGUAUUAACUUAUUGAUUCUCAAAGUGAUCCUAGCUGUGACAUCUUGGUACUCAGGCCUCUAACUUAUUCAUGGGGAAACUGAACGGCAGAGUGUUACCUAGCUUAAUCCCCCUUCCAGUCUGCCGCCUGAUAUUUCCCUGUUAAAUUUCUUGUAGGUCUUACUCAGAACUAGUCUCAUCUGGUUAGGUAAUUUAGUCUGACAUUCUCUCUGCAGGCCAAUUAUUACAAAACAUUUAGUACAUAAGUAGAUAUCACUCGUGGCUUUGGAGACCACAGAUUGACUUCUCCUGCAGAGCUUAUUUUCUACUUGGGCAAUAAAAAUAUAACAAGCCAAUAAAUAUUAAGAUUACAGCUGAGGGACCGGAGCAGUGGCUCGGUGGUUAAGAGCCCCAGCACCCACAUGGUUGCUCACAACCAUCCAACCUCCAGUCUCAGGGGUCCAAUGCCCUCUUCUAGCCUCCAAAGGUACUUCACACAUGUGAUGCACCGACAUACAUGAAGGCAGAAACACCUAUACACACAAAAUAAUAAUAACAAAAAAGAUUGUAAUAGUUAUCUUGAAAGAAAUAGUUAGGGGUGGUUGGGUGUGAGGCACGUGUGGAUAUGGAGUACAGCAGUUGGCAAAGCUAAGUACAACAGGGUUCUGUGUGCCUGUGUGUGAGGACAGCUUCUCUGAGGAAAGGACGUUGGAUCUGAGCAGAAAGAAGACCUUAAUGCCUGAGGUGUCCAUUACUUUGGGCUCUUCUUUUUCUUGUGCUCUUUGUGCCUACAGUGCUUGAGUUGAUUCCACCUUUAGUCUAUUCUUUUCGUUUGUGUAUCCCUCUUGUUGUAGUUCCAUUGAUGUGGCAUCCUAACUUCUGGAAGAGGAGAGCAGUUGGUUGUUCCUGAAGAUCCCUCUCUAUUGUUCUUCUGUGGGCCUCAUUAAUUAUGUAAAUUAAGCCACUUUCAGGCUCAGAAUGUGCCCUGACUCCUUCUGCAGAGCCUGUGUUGGUGACUAAUGCCUAUAAUCCCAGCACUUGGGAGACUGAGGCUGGAGGGUUGUGAGUUCAAGUCAGCUUGGCCUGCAGAGUGAGACCCUGUGUUAGACCAAUGGAGGGGUGGGGAGAACAGAAUCCUGUAGCACAGGGUUUCACUCUGUGGCUGCAGCCCACUGUUAGGUUUCUAAUCUGUUCUCCACACAUGUUCGCUCCUUUCCUGGCUCUGUUCCGCAGCCCACAUUGUUCCCUUCAGUUGGCUCUCUGUUAGCCUUUCCUGCCUUUAUCAUUCUCAUCCAUUCAUCCAUGUCUUAAGCUCUUUAGAAGACUCUGCCACAGCCAGGAGUCAUUCAAUAUCUGGAGAGUAUGGCUGGCCAGCUCUUUAUACUUUUAUGGUGGCAGGAAUCUUUUUCCUUCCUUGUGUUAUGGUAUUUGUUUUGUAUCCUUCUAGUCAUGCCCCACCCCCUAUCUUCUUUAGACAUGUUCUCAGUAGAUAGUACAGGCUAGCUUCAAACUGAUCCAUUUGUGUCUAUAUCCAAAGUGCGUGGAUCACAGAUAUGUGCCACCAUAUCUGACUUCUUACUCGUUUAAAAAAAAAAAAAAAAAAAAAAACUAAACCAUUGUCUUGAAAACAUCCAUGUUGUCCCAUGGCAUGCUGAGUAUUAGUGUUCUUAGGAUGCUGUCUUCACUGUUCUUCUUAAUCUGUUUCAUUUGCCUUCCCUGUUGUCCACUUCAACAGAUAUCAAAAUAAGGAAGAGCUGCGUGUGUGGGGGACGGUGAUAGUUAUAUAAGUUUAUGUCCCAAGGGUCUGCCUCUUCCUCAUGAGCACGCGAGAGCUCUUUUCAUUCUGUUCAUUUCAAUAGUCUGCAAGCUGCAGCGAGAAUUUUAUUUUGAUCCUUCUUCCAGCUUGCCUACAAAGAGAUUCAGAAGGUAACAACUGAGAUCUAGACUUUUCUUUGCUAUAUAGAUGGUAGCUGUAGAAAGGGUAAUCAAAUGAAAACAUUAGGGAAAAUGUGGGCUGAGAAGAUACCUCACGCAGUUAAGUGCUUGCCUUGGAAGUAUGAGGACCAGAGUUUAAUGAGUUCGGCGGCCUACAUUUGUCAUCUCCAGACCUGGGAAGGUGGAGGGGGCGGAUCCCUUGCACUUGCUGGCUAGCUAGCCUUGCCUGGUUGCCGAACUCCAGGCCAGUGAAAGACCUUGUCUCAAACCAAGCUUGCAUAGGAUUUGAGGAGUUACAUCUGGCUUCUACACGUGGGUGCACAUGCAUGUGUACAUAUACACACAAUAAAAGGAAAAAAAGUCUUUUUAAAGGUCACUGUUGGUUGUAAGGGGUUGUAAACAUGGGUUCCAGGAACCAAAUUCCAGUCCUCAUGUUUCCAAGGCAAGCACUUAACUGACUUGGGGUUAAGGGUGGGGCAAGAGCAUGUGUGUGUGUGUGUUUAAAGAAAGUAUUUGUGUGGUGGUUAAUUGCCUCCCAAUAAAACUUACUAGAGAGUUUAGAGAGUUAAAGGAAACAUUUUGUUUUUUCAUUUACAAACCAAGUCUAAUUAUCUAUAGAUCUUCAUUUGCCCUGGCAUGCAUUACUAACUCAGGUUGCUGUGCAGUGCUACCAUUGGUGAGAAGUUAGUUGUCUCCGGUUGUCCACGCCUCUGCCCAGCCCAAGACGCUCUUCCUGAUCACAUUUUAUAGGCUGACACUUCACUUAGGUAAAACCAGGUUGUUAAUGCCAGAUUCUCUGGGGGCUUUCUCUGAACCGUGCUGCAAUCUGGAGAUGAGAAGAAAAACUUUCCUUUUGCUUUCUGAAGGUCAUGUGCACGGAUUGAAUAGGAGAACAUAGACUCACAUGACUGUUAACAUGCGCAGUUGCACAAGGAAAUGUCACAGCAGUACGGCCUCUGAUGAUUCAAUAUGGUUCAGGUGCUUAUUCUGAAAGGGUAAGAGAGAAUGGAGACAAUUUUGAAGGCUCCUAAUUCUGGAGACAGAAAUUAGUUUGUAAAAUUAAUCUCUUUGAAUUGGAAAGGAGCCUAUGGGACAGACAUCAUCAUGUGGCAAAAUUCAUUCCUCAGCCCUCCUUUUGUUACAAAUAAUGAGACUUGACUGGGGCUUUGAAGUAUGAAACAGUGGUGGAGGUUCCGUCCAGGCACAAGGUCUUUCAUGUAUUCAAGUCUACCUUAGAAUUUCUUCCCACUAUAUUAUAGAAAAUUUGUGGUUUUGAGAGGAAGACAGUGCUCUUAAAAUUUAUCACUACGUUUGAAUUAAUAUAUUAUUGAUUCAUAUUUCUUCUCCAGCCAUGUGGUGUGGUGUGUGUGUGUGUGUGUGUGUGUGUGUGUUUGUGUGUUUGAGCCUUGAUUCAAGUGUCACUUUAGGAAAGUUUUCCAUGAAAGUCCACAUAUGAUAACAAAAAAGCAUGCUAUAUUUCUCUAAGCACCACAAGUUUGGGCAAUGACAUUGUGAUUUAAUAACCCAAUUUAAAUAAGGAGCUAGAAGCCCUAAUGGCUCUGACUCACCAGACAGGAAAGUAAGGAAGUACUAGUUAUUGUUUGUCAAUUUCUUUUCCUUUGCAGUUUGAAGCAGGGUCAUGCUGCAGACACUGUCCUUUUCAACACUCGGAAGCCUCUGCCACUUCCUGCCACUGGGCACUUCUUCCCGUUAAGGGGCAGGUCCUGGGACACAGUAUGGAAACGCAGGGUGACAGCUCUCUUAUCCUUGGUGCUGAUGGGCCUCCUAUCCCUUGACCAUUGUUUUUCCCGGAUAAUGAGAUAUUCAGGCUAAGAGGAGACUUCUGUCUGCCUGUGUUUGUGCUCUAAUCGUUCAGGUAGGGCAUGACCACUCUUUAUAAGGCAAGAGUUCCUGUGAAUUGAACCUCUUUUCUCAUUGGACUGCACCUACCUCCAUCUUGGUUGUCUGUGGCCCUGGAAGGUCUGCUCUAGUACAGUGGCUCAGCUUUCCUCUCACACGCCUCACAAGUGCAGGCAGCUCUAGGUGACAAUGAGCUUUCCUCUCACACGCCUCACAAGUGCAGGCGGCUCUAAGUGACAGUGAGCUUUCCAUGGCUUGACUUGAAGUUCUAAAUCAUCUGACCUUGGCCCUCUAAGAUGUCUCGUCUCUUUAUCUCUGCUCAGCUCAUGGAGAGCUGAGAUAUUAUUACAUGACUUUUAAUCACACGCACACACACACACACAGAUAUAUACUCCUUAAUAUAUAAUACAUAAGACCUUGAUGAAAAUUGGCUUUGCCUUUUCAGGUUGAGCACCUUAACACUAAAUGCUUAUAUUCCUUAGUGUCCUUCCCAGAUAUAAGUAUUGCAGAUUAGGAAAGAUUAUAGCAAAGAUUAGUGUUCUGGCACUGCCUUCUAUCCCUGCUCUACUAUUUUUCAUGUCUCUUAGGAUUGGGUGAUUUCAUCAUCUUCACAUACAUUCCCCAAAUCGCGUCAACUGGAACCUUUCGGUUUAUAUAACUUUCUCCUAGUUUAUAGCAACCUCAUCAGCUCUAUCCCUUCCUUUGUUCUAGUGCUGCCCAGUCAGUUUAGGACCUUACUGCAUUCUAGGCGGGUGCUGUACCACUGAGCCACACCCCAGCCCCAGUCCAUGCUGCUUCUUUACAUUACUCGGGGUUACUGCCUGUUCUGUGUUAUUCCAGGUUACAGUAUCAGUUACUUUCAUUCUCUCUGUUCUUUCAGCCCCAGACCUGCUACUUUUCUCUUCUAGUCCAGCCUUACUGGACCCUGCUUCAAUCCUAAUCCUCCUACAAGACUUUCUCCAACUGAUCCCACCUGGUGUAAGAGCUAUCCUUCCGCACAGUGCCCUGGAAUUUACCAUCUGUGGCAUCCAUUUUGUUAGAUGUACUCUAAUUUGUGAGACCACCCAAACUAUACUUAUUUCUUGGAAUGUGAUUUGACAGGUUCUUUAUUGUUCUUUAUAGAGAGCUAUCCUCUUAGGGAGGUAAUGGCUCAGGCUAUUUUGACUUUCUAUUAAGAUAAAAAUAAUUUGAAAAUCUGUGGGUUGGUUGCUUAGUGUUUAAAAACUCCUAUGACCCACUAGAUUGAUUUUAUAGUCCACUGAUGGAUCAUAGCCUCCAUUUUAUAAAACACUGUCUAGCUGAUACAAAGAUUAAUGCUUCUCGUGAUGGAAACAUAAAGGCUGGGUACAAAUCUACUACAGGGUAAGCAUAAGGUAUUGGAAAAGAGACGUGUGAGCCUGGGAAUUCAGAGGAGGCAAAAUUCUACGGCGAAAACAACUUCCUUCCUUGAAGAUGGUUCUGAUUGAGGAAGAGACUUCCAUAUUUAUCUUUUAAACAAGAUCCACAAAGAAAAUGAGGGGAGCCUCAGAAGCAAAAAGAGCCCUUCACUCUAGAGUCUGGAUGAGCUUUCUCACCAGUGUUUUGUUGCAACUAACAAAGUUCAUUGACAAUAAUUUUAUAAAAGGAUUUUAAAUAAGGAUAUUAAGGUGUAAGUGGGAAGAUGGUGACAGAGAGGGGAGAAGAAGAUGGGAUUGAGGGAGGCUUAGCCAAAGCUAAGAUGCAUGAAAAGCCAAAAGCAAUCCUGAUACCUGCUAGGUUCAUUUAAAACUCAAAAAGUUGGAAUUGAGGUAUCCUGGGCAAGUGGAUAAUGCUUCUGCCAGAUGCCACAUUUCCUACGUGAAAAGCCCAGUGUCAAGAGUGGAUUGUGUCUAGGAGUUGGUCAGGAUGGCCCUUAAACUUUCAAAACAUUGUAGGUAAAUGUUGGUUGCACACCACGACUAGAUUAUAUGACCCUGUAGCUGAAGAAGCCACAUGUUCUGGUUACAGCCAUAGAAAAAAACAAACUGGAAGUAGACGGAGGCUUCCUUCCUGCUAGCUCCCCUUCCUUGGGUCAGAGGUGCCAUACAGGCUUGGGUGGAUGGUCAUCCGCAGGCUUUCGUAGCUGUGGACCCUGUGUACAGAGCUACCAGUUGGCCAGACCCAUUAGUCCAGUAGUAGUUUGUUAUGGGAGAAAUCAACCUUUUUGAUGGGGUUUCUUCCAAAGGAGAGAAUCCAUAUCAGAUUCUGUAAACCUCAUGAAAAGCCCUUGGCUAGGGAGGUCGUAUUCCCUAGCGGGGAAACUGCCCAUGCUGUUUUGCUACAUGGACAUGAUACACCUGUCAAAUUACAUCCUAAAUAAUUAUGUUCAUGCUUGUAGAAUAAUGCUGCCAUCAGCUUUGCUCAGAGAAACGUCUUUCUGCAGUGGACAGCAAUAACUGCAGAGUCUCAUAAUGCAUCAAAGGGUUGAGAGUAAGUGUUUGUUGAAUGCUUAGCCAUAAAUGAGAUAUCUAUAUUGCCUUCUCCUAGGCUCAGGGAAAAUUGCAGAAGACAGGGUAAAGAGAAUGUAAGCCUGAGGAAGGACUGGAGUCUUUUGGGCAUGACAUAGCAAUUGGACUUCUGAACUCACAGAAACUGUUGAUUACCUGCACAAGGCACAAGAUGGCGGUCCAUCUAUUGCCUUUCAUGGGGGAGCUUGAAGCUCAUGAGACCCCCACCCUACUGAGGAUCUGUAAGUAGUAAUGGCUUGGAGAGGAAGGAGAAAUGUAGUCUUUAGUGGUGUAGUUACAGAUAAGGUGCCCAUGUUCUUAUAAGCAGCCCUAGUGGAAAACUGGAUCAUUACAAAGAAAAUGGGUAAAGCACUUGUCACACAAACAUGAAGAUGUCAGUUUGAAUUUCUCAACCUUACAUACAGCUAAGUAUGGUAAUGCCUCUGUAGUCCCAGUGCAUCUGUGGAGUCAUAGGAGGUGGAAAGAGGAAAAUCCCUGCAGAACUCAAGACCAGCAGCUAAGUCCACACGAUGUUGAAAAACAGAGGCCCUAUCUCAAGAUGGAAUGUGAUGAUUACCACCCACAGUUGCUGGUUGAUUUCUGUAUGAGCUGUGGUAUGUACAUGCCCCUCUUCAGAGAUGUGACAUCAAAGUAGAAGGGGAUCAGUGGGAGUAAGAAUGCAGUGGGAGCGAUAACAGGUGAAUAUGAUGCAGUGCAUCAUGUACUAUAUAAAAAUCGUAUGUAUAGCUAUUGGUAAGAACACAAGACUCUUUGAAAACCCACACCCUUCUUGGCUUUUCUCUUUUAAUGUAAAUUUCAGAUACAACUUUUUUUUAAAAAUAAACUCCAACCUUACUUCA